UCUUCCUGACCUCUACUCUUAAUCUUUCCUGCUCCAACUGAAGCAAAUUCCCUCUCAUCCUGUCUUCGGGGCAAGCCUGUGAUGGCCAAAAAGCCUGCCGGGAUGAGGAAAUCUGCAGCAGGAGGCUGGAAGUAGAGUAACCAUCUUGGGAGCAGAAGACAACAAAGCCACAAGCUAAGGAUCAUGGAGCAGAAGGAGGAAAGGAGCCUAGAACGCUGAUGCCACCUUGGAGCUCCUGCAAAGACUUGGACUUCUUGGCACCUUCUGUGUGAAGAAAUUUGGGUAUACCAUCUGAUUUCAUCCUCACAGCAGCCCCAUGAAAAAUAUUAUUCUCUCUGCUUCAGAGAUGAGGAAACUGAGAUUCAGAUUGUUUAAGUACCUUGCCCAAAGCCACACUGCUGCUAAAUGAUGGAGCAAAAAUUCAAACCCAAGGUUCGCUUUGGAAACCCCGUCUUCUUCAGGAUGCCACCUCCUUUGGUGGUGUCAUGGACCCAGCCCACAGACCACCUGGAGGAAUCCCAAAUGUCAUCCUCUGAGAAUUGAUGUGCUUUCAUCUCUCUCUGGACCUGGUCCAAUGACCUUUUCAAACCCCGAAAUCUUAGAAAAGUCUGCUCUGUUAACUGAAUCUUUACCCAAAGUUCAGACCAUCUAGAGAAAAUCACAGUCCCUUGCUUGUGUUGCUUUCUUCAAAUCCCAGUUUUCCUGCACUGAGAUACUACCAAGAGAUCCUGGGAAAACCUCUGAACUCUAGACUCCUCACUAUUAAAUAAGGAUCUAGGGGCACCUGGGUGGUUCUGUCCGUUAAGCAUCUGACUUUGGCUCAGGUCACAAUCUCACGGUUUGUGGG